GACGAACGCUGGCGGCGUGCCUAAUACAUGCAAGUCGAGCGAGACUCUUCGGAGUCUAGCGGCGGACGGGUGAGUAACACGUGGGCAACCUGCCUGUAAGACUGGGAUAACACCGGGAAACCGGUGCUAAUACCGGAUAAUCCUUUUUCUCUCAUGAGGAAAGGCUGAAAGUCGGUUUCGGCUGACACUUACAGAUGGGCCCGCGGCGCAUUAGCUAGUUGGUGAGGUAACGGCUCACCAAGGCGACGAUGCGUAGCCGACCUGAGAGGGUGAUCGGCCACACUGGGACUGAGACACGGCCCAGACUCCUACGGGAGGCAGCAGUAGGGAAUCUUCCACAAUGGACGAAAGUCUGAUGGAGCAACGCCGCGUGAGCGAUGAAGGCCUUCGGGUCGUAAAGCUCUGUUGUUAGGGAAGAACAAGUACCGGAGUAACUGCCGGUACCUUGACGGUACCUAACCAGAAAGCCACGGCUAACUACGUGCCAGCAGCCGCAGUAAUAC
rnacentral:rRNA from 1 species